UUCCUUAAAAAGAACACGGACCCCUUCUCUUAUUUUUUUUUGGAGAGUAGUUAAUUCUAGAUUCUCUCGAUUUGAUUGAUAGGUGAAGAGGAGAAGGAGUGAAAGGAAAUUGAAAGGAAAUUUAAGAAAAAUGAAUGGAAUGAGAAAUCG
ensembl:ncRNA C33F10.16 ncRNA